AGUGGAUGGGGAACAACCUAGUUGUGCGUGUGUAAAGGUAGUGCCAAGAAAAGCGGUGAUCAUGAUGAAAAUCAAUUCCCGGUACCCGAAACCGACACAGGUGGGCAAGUAGAGAAUACUAAGGGGCGCGAGGUAACUCUCUCCAAGGAACUCGGCAAAAUGACCCCGUAACUUAGGGAGAAGGGGUGCCACCGAGAGGUGGUCGCAGUGAAGAGGCCCAGGCGACUGUUUAGCAAAAACAUAGGUCUCUGCAAACUCGAAAGAGGAGGUAUAGGGGCUGACGCCUGCCCAGUGCCGGAAGGUUAAAGAAGUUGGUCAGUCUUAGGAUGAAGCUAGCGACUGAAGCCCCGGUGAACGGCGGCCGUAACUAUAACGGUCCUAAGGUAGCGAAAUUCCUUGUCGGGUAAGUUCCGACCCGCACGAAAGGCGUAACGAUCUGGGCGCUGUCUCGGAGAGAGGCUCGGCGAAAUAGGAUUGACUGUGAAGAUACGGACUACCUGCAUUUGGACAGAAAGACCCUAUGAAGCUUUACUAUAGCUUGGAAUUGUGUUCGGGCUUCCUGUGCGCAGGAUAGGUGGGAGGCGUAGAAGGUAUUCUUGUGGGGAUACUGGAGCCAACGGUGAGAUACCACUCUCAGGAGGCUAGAAUUCUAACUUAAUUAAGGACAGUUUCAGGUGGGUAGUUUGACUGGGGCGGUCGCCUCCAAAAAGGUAACGGAGGCGUACAAAGGUUCCCUCAGACUGGUUGGAAAUCAGUCGCAGAGUGCAAAGGCAGAAGGGAGCUUGACUGCGAGAAGUACAGUUCGAGCAGGGUGGAAACACGGUCUUAGUGAUCCGACGGUGCUGUGUGGAAGGGCCGUCGCUCAACGGAUAAAAGUUACUCUAGGAUAACAGGCUGAUCUCCCCCAAGAGUUCACAUCGACGGGGAGGUUUGGCACCUCGAUGUCGGCUCAUCGCAACCUGGGGCGGAAGUACGUCCCAAGGGUUGGGCUGUUCGCCCAUUAAAGCGGUACGUGAGCUGGGUUCAGAACGUCGUGAGACAGUUCGGUCCAUAUCCGAUGUAGGCGUGAGAAUAUUGAGAGGAGCCUUCCUUAGUACGAGAGGACCGGGAAGGACGCACCGCUGGUGUACCUGUUAUGAUGCCAAUUGUAAACGCAGGGUAGCCAAGUGCGGAGAGGAUAACCGCUGAAAGCAUCUAAGUGGGAAGCCCACCUCAAGAUGAGUAUUCUGGUGUAAGGUCACGGGAAGACGACCCGUAAAUAGGCACGAGGUGGAAGUGCAGAGAUGUAUGAAGCCGAAGUGUACUAAUAGACCGUCGGCUUGACC
rnacentral:rRNA from 1 species